UCUGGGUCCCUUGGCGAGCCAGAGAGGACGGUGGGUGUGUGAAAACCCAAGCUAGACCUGCCUGCAUCGUGGAUUUUUCCCAAACUGCAUCGGUGAAGCAUCGCGUAGAGCUUCCAUCAUCUGGGUUCGAUUUCAUGUGUUAAGGUAAGGUUUGUACCUUAACCGCUGAAUUCCAUUGUGCCAUUGUCCAUUCGCGUGCUGCGUGUAUGCCUUUUGUAGCUGUUUCCUGACUCGAUUGAUUUCGAUUCUCAAACAGAAGCUGGUUUCUAGCAGUCCAUAGUGUUCAGCAAAUCCAGAGGAAGAGAUUGCCAGUGAUCCCCGAUGGUGGCCAGCAGACAGCGCUUUCUGAGAUCAUUAGAGCUGUUACAAAAUCAGUUUGGGCAGCUAGGUGAGCUGCUUGAUGAAUGGUAGUCUCCAGCCAGACUUGUCGUGUGAAAGUGCAUUCUAGAAAGAUGUGAGUGGUUGUUUCAUCUUUCUGCAUCUCACACAUUGUGUGUUAUUAAUAAUGAGGGGACUUCAAUUAAGAUCUUUUGUUUUAAUAGUCUAGAUAAUAUAUAUAUAUAUAUAUAUUAUUUUAGGAAAAUAUUUAAGAAUCGUUGGAUAAUUACAAAUAAUUUCCAUAAAUAUUUUUUUAAAUUUAAAUAUAGUGGCAUUGCUGUAAAUAUUAAAACAUACCAAGGGGACCUAAAAAAAUCUUGUAUUUUAAUAGUAUGUAUGUAUAUAUAUGUAUAUAUUUAUUUUUAAUGAGAUGUGAAUAGGUUCAAACUUAAACGACAACUUUUCAAGUAGAUAAAAAAUAAGACUCUAAAUUAAUAAAAUAGAUGUGUUUUAAUAGUAUAGAUAAGUAAAUUAGAUUAUUUAAUAUGCUUUUAAUUACAUUACUCUAGAAUCUAAUCUAAAAUGGUAGUAUUUAAUUAACUCCACUAAACCAUUCAAAAAAUCACCAAAAUGUUUCUAAAACUCACAAUUUAAAUCUUUUCUUUUAUGAUGUCAAAAAAUAAAAUCCCAAUAACAGUAGAUAGCAGAAUAUUUUUAUCAAUGACAACAGUGAACUUUAAAAAGUAUUUGAAAUUCAUGUGAUUUUUUAUUUUAAUACAAAUCAAUUACAACUCUCAAUUGAAUAUAUCUUUUUAGAGUGUUUUGUAAGAACUUUUAGUUAAAAUAAAAUAAAAAAUCUAAAUCUUAUAGGAGUAUCCCCUUAAUAUUAAAGUAUGAGCAUUCUUAGAGAGUAACCUUAUGCUCAUGUGUUAUUAACAAAUAUGUCAUUUUCUAUGCGGCAACACCAUAUUCAUUCUCACAUUCUCUAGGUAAAGUCAUCUCCUUACUAAAUUUAUUACAUAUUUUGCCACUACUCAUUAAUUGGUGUUUAACAUAAUGUUUUAAUCAUACAUAAUGUUUUAAUCAUAUUAAUUGGUAAUUAGCAAUUUAAAACCAAUUCGAGAUAAGAACUCUCGCCUUAACGAUUUAAAUCAUGUUUGGGACAAGAACUACGCCUUAACGUAUGUUGUAAUAAUUUAACGUUUAAUUUAAUGUUACUUUCGUGACAUAUCUAAUAAUCACAACAUAUUGCCGUCUACUCACGCAUGAAACAUGUAUAUCAAAACGGGUUAUCUAAAUUGGUUUUCAUAUCACAUAGAAAAUAUUUGAUCAAAACCGGUUAUUUAAAAGGUACACACAUGAAAAGAUCUGUGCAAAAAUGUUUGAAUGUAACUAUGGGUCUGAAAAGGUUUAUGAUUAUACUCGAUAUCAAAGCCAGUUUAAAAAAUGUUUGAAUGUAACUAUGUGUCUGAAAAGGUUUAUGAUCAUACUCGAUAUCAAAACCGGUUUAAAAACUUCAUAAGGCAAUCAUGUCAAUUAUUGCCAAUUCAUGUAGACAUAAAAAAAGAGAGUGAUUGAUUUAAAAUUUAAUUGUAGCAACCAAAUUUAAUGAUGUGAUCCUAGGUGAUAACUGACUGAUUUAAAGUCAGUUUACAUAUUUCCAAAAUUGAUAUCACGUUUUUUACCAAAAAAAAUUGAUAUCACGUGACAUAAUGAAUCACCUUGAGCAAGGUGAAAUUCUUUCAUCAUGAAUUUACUCAUUUUAAUUUAAGUCUGCUUACAUAUUUUCAAAACGGAUUGAUUUAAAACUAAAUAUCGUUAACCAGAUUAACUCUUUGUUUCCUAUUAUUCCAUGUGAUUUGACGAGCAACGAAUAAAGUAAGUUCUCAAAAUUCCAUAUUAAUUUAAUGCAUUAAGUAUAUUUUGAAUGUAGAAUUCAUGUUCACCGUAUUCGGUGAAACCCAACAAAUCUAUUAUAUUCUUGCAAAAGAAGAUGAAAACAAUAUAUCAGCGUUAACAUUGGUUCACCUUAGUACACAUCCAGAUCAAUUAAGAAAUAUAAAUAAGGAAGUUAAAAUAUUAUUUUUUCCAAUUAGCUUCAACGAUUUUAUUACCUUUUGAUUGUACAUAAUAACUCUGAAUUAAUGAUUAACGUUAUUGAUUCGACGAGCAAGGAAUAAGGUACGUUCUCAAAAUUCCAUAUUAAUUAUUGUUACAAAAAUUAAAAUAACCGGUUAGAUAUGCAAGUAUACCCUAGACCCGUCCAUUGCAUCUAUAAAUACAUGGUCUUAUAGCUAUAUCUCCUCAUCACCGUCCCCUUCUCAAAACAUCUUUACCAAAACUUUUGAGCUCGCACACUACUCAUGGUGGACUUUAACUCUGUAGCCGAUUUGAAACAUUUUAAAACAAUGAGGGAGAGUGAGGUUUAGUAUUGUUUGAUUGUGGAAGCAGGUGGCCUAACCAUUGAAAUGGUUCUCAUUGAUUCUAAUGUUAUUAUUAUUGUUUAUACUAAGCUGAUACUUUGUUAUGUCUCUUUAUAGGAUUGCAAACCAAGAGUUCUGAAGACACUUUUCAGUUGUGGUUUUCUCCAUUUUUUUUUAAAUUUUGUUUCUUUAUAAUUUGCUUUUUUAGUAUAUUAUUAUUCUAUUAUCUAUGUUUUCUUUUUUUUAUAUAUAUUCAUAAUUUAUAUUAUGAAAAAAAAAUUGCUUGUGUUUUAUUUUAUCAUAAACUCAUAUUAAAUAUAUAUAUAAGUCUUUAUUUACUCUCACAUUUUUUUAAAAUUCAAAUAUAUUUAAAUUACACCAAUAAAUUAAACAAU
rnacentral:lncRNA from 1 species